rnacentral:rRNA from 2 species
CUCGUGAAUUCAUCUCCGGGGGUAGAGCACUGUUUCGGCUAGGGGGCCAUCCCGGCUUACCAACCCGAUGCAAACUGCGAAUACCGGAGAAUGUUAUCACGGGAGACACACGGCGGGUGCUAACGUCCGUCGUGAAGAGGGAAACAACCCAGACCGCCAGCUAAGGUCCCAAAGUCAUGGUUAAGUGGGAAACGAUGUGGGAAGGCCCAGACAGCCAGGAUGUUGGCUUAGAAGCAGCCAUCAUUUAAAGAAAGCGUAAUAGCUCACUGGUCGAGUCGGCCUGCGCGGAAGAUGUAACGGGGCUAAACCAUGCACCGAAGCUGCGGCAGCGAACGUAUCACCCAAGACAACUUUACGGAGUUGACGAUUGACGGAGCGAAGCGACGUCAAAGCGUUCAUUAAAGUCGAGUUGGCUUAGGGAUACGUUCGUUGGGUAGGGGAGCGUUCUGUAAGCCUGUGAAGGUGUGUCGUGAGGCAUGCUGGAGGUAUCAGAAGUGCGAAUGCUGACAUAAGUAACGAUAAAGCGGGUGAAAAGCCCGCUCGCCGGAAGACCAAGGGUUCCUGUCCAACGUUAAUCGGGGCAGGGUGAGUCGACCCCUAAGGCGAGGCCGAAAGGCGUAGUCGAUGGGAAACGGGUUAAUAUUCCCGUACUUGGUGUUACUGCGAAGGGGGGACGGAGAAGGCUAUGUUGGCCGGGCGACGGUUGUCCCGGUUUAAGCGUGUAGGUGUGUGUUCCAGGUAAAUCCGGUUCACUUUAACACUGAGGCGUGACGACGAGGCACUACGGUGCUGAAGCAACAAAUGCCCUGCUUCCAGGAAAAGCCUCUAAGCAUCAGGUAACAUCAAAUCGUACCCCAAACCGACACAGGUGGUCAGGUAGAGAAUACCAAGGCGCUUGAGAGAACUCGGGUGAAGGAACUAGGCAAAAUGGUGCCGUAACUUCGGGAGAAGGCACGCUGACACGUAGGUGAAGUGAUUUACUCAUGGAGCUGAAGUCAGUCGAAGAUACCAGCUGGCUGCAACUGUUUAUUAAAAACACAGCACUGUGCAAACACGAAAGUGGACGUAUACGGUGUGACGCCUGCCCGGUGCCGGAAGGUUAAUUGAUGGGGUCAGCGCAAGCGAAGCUCCUGAUCGAAGCCCCGGUAAACGGCGGCCGUAACUAUAACGGUCCUAAGGUAGCGAAAUUCCUUGUCGGGUAAGUUCCGACCUGCACGAAUGGCGUAAUGAUGGCCAGGCUGUCUCCACCCGAGACUCAGUGAAAUUGAACUCGCUGUGAAGAUGCAGUGUACCCGCGGCAAGACGGAAAGACCCCGUGAACCUUUACUAUAGCUUGACACUGAACAUUGAGCCUUGAUGUGUAGGAUAGGUGGGAGGCUUUGAAGUGUGGACGCCAGUCUGCAUGGAGCCGACCUUGAAAUACCACCCUUUAAUGUUUGAUGUUCUAACGUGGACCCGUAAUCCGGGUUGCGGACAGUGUCUGGUGGGUAGUUUGACUGGGGCGGUCUCCUCCUAAAGAGUAACGGAGGAGCACGAAGGUUGGCUAAUCCUGGUCGGACAUCAGGAGGUUAGUGCAAUGGCAUAAGCCAGCUUGACUGCGAGCGUGACGGCGCGAGCAGGUGCGAAAG